CCCAGAGCUGUGGAGUGUGACAAUGGUGUUUGUGUCCAUCUAUCAAACGCCAUUAUCACACUAAAUAGUUCC
ensembl:miRNA